rnacentral:rRNA from 1 species
GACGAACGCUGGCGGCGUGCUUAACACAUGCAAGUCGAACGCUGAAGCUCAGCUUUUGUUGGGUGGAUGAGUGGCGAACGGGUGAGUAACACGUGAGUAACCUGCCCCCUUCUUUGGGAUAACGCCCGGAAACGGGUGCUAAUACUGGAUAUUCACUGGUCUUCGCAUGGGGGUUGGUGGAAAGGGUUUUUCUGGUGGGGGAUGGGCUCUCGGCCUAUCAGCUUGUUGGUGGGGUGAUGGCCUACCAAGGCUUUGACGGGUAGCCGGCCUGAGAGGGUGACCGGUCACAUUGGGACUGAGAUACGGCCCAGACUCCUACGGGAGGCAGCAGUGGGGAAUAUUGCACAAUGGGCGCAAGCCUGAUGCAGCGACGCCGCGGGAGGGAUGGAGGCCGUCGGGUUGUGAACCUCUUUCGCUCAUGGUCAAGCCGCAACAAUGGUUGUGGUGAGGGUAGUGGGUAAAGAAGCGCCGGCUAACUACGUG